rnacentral:rRNA from 1 species
UACGUAGGUGGCAAGCGUUGUCCGGAUUUAUUGGGCGUAAAGCGAGUGCAGGCGGCUCGAUAAGUCUGAUGUGAAAGCCUUCGGCUCAACCGGAGAAUUGCAUCAGAAACUGUCGAGCUUGAGUACAGAAGAGGAGAGUGGAACUCCAUGUGUAGCGGUGAAAUGCGUAGAUAUAUGGAAGAACACCGGUGGCGAAGGCGGCUCUCUGGUCUGUUACUGACGCUGAGGCUCGAAAGCAUGGGUAGCGAACAG